UACGGGGGGGGCAAGCGUUGUUCGGAUUUACUGGGCGUGAAGGGCGCGCAGGCGGCCGCAUUUGUCAGGCGUGAAAGCCCCGGGCUUAACCUGGGAACUGCGUUUGAUACGGUGUGGCUAGAGUUCGGGAGAGGAGAGUGGAAUUCCCAGUGUAGAGGUGAAAUGCGUAGAGAUCGGCAGGAACACCCAGGGGGAAACCAGUCGACUGGGCAGCACCUGACGCUGAGGUGCGAGAGCGUGGGGAGCGAACCGG
rnacentral:rRNA from 1 species